CUUCUUCCAGUGACUAAGGCACCACUACCUGCUGUUUUCAAUUACUUUUUGCUUGAUAAAUACAGUGGAAGCUACUUGUGUAGUUUCUGUAAACUCUAAGAAGUGCGGAAAGAAAUCUACAGAAGUCUCCCCACUGUGAACCAAGAAAACCUACAUCAAGGAACUCUGAUAGGAAAUUCAUGCUUCUGAAAGCUUCUGCCCCCUUGAAGGAAGACUCUGAAGCCCCUGUCCUUUGCCAAGCAGAAGUGACACCAAGUGGCCUCACCAUAUCCCCAGAUGGAGCGGGCCUGACUCAGCACACCCCACGACACCUCCUGAGUCUGCAGACAGCAAAUACACAGAGCUGGUCCCAGGGAGAUGAAGUCAUUUGUCCAAGGAUAUCACCCGAUUAUUGGAUGAGUUAAAGGCGGAGGUCAGACUUCCCUACCUUCAGUCUGGAAGCUUUCCCCUCACUGCAGGAUGCUGCUUGUUUGUAUUCAGGAGGAGCAUGGGGACCCAAGUCCUGGCUUGGUCGUAGAGAGAAAUGCUAUGAAAGACAGGAAAAUGAAAUCAGCUGCCAUCCCCACUGCCUACAUCUCUAGGACUUCCUGGGCUGCCACAGGGACUAGACAGGGCAUCGAUGAACCCACCUUCGAAAGAUGUCUUACCUCCCUUCCUCCUGAAUCUAUUAGCCCCUGGCCCCUAGCAAACAAGAUUGCUACACGGAGAGGAGAAAUAGAAUUGUCAUCCAUAAAUGGCAAUAAAUUGGGAGAUUGGGAUUGACAUAUUCCCACUACUAUAUAUAAAAUAGAUAACUAAUAAGAACCUACUGUAUAGCACAGGGAACUCUACUCAAUACUCUGUAAUGACCUAUAUGGGGAAAGAAUCUAAAAAAGAGUGCAUAUAUGUAUAUGUAUAACUGAUUCACUUUGCUGUACAGCAGAAACUAACACAACAUUGUAAAUCAACUAUCCUCCAAUAAAAAUUAAUUUUAAAAAAUGGCAAUAAAAAUUGUAAUCAUACUAACGGCGAAAACAGUAUUGGGUAUUUGGAAUGCAUUAUGCACCGGGCCAAUCACACACAUUGUCUAAUUUAACUUUCAAAACAACUCCAUGAAAUGAAUCCUUUUAUUAUU